rnacentral:rRNA from 1 species
GAUGAACGCUGGCGGCGUGCCUAACACAUGCAAGUCGUACGAGCUCGAUCUUCGGAACGGGUUAGUGGCGCACGGGUGAGUAACACGUAGGUGACCUACCCCAGAGUGGGGGAUAACUUCUCGAAAGAGAGGCUAAUACCGCAUACACUCGGUCAUUCAUUUGGCCGAGCAAAGCUCCGGCGCUUUGGGACGGGCCUGCGUCCGAUUAGCUAGUUGGUAGGGUAAUGGCUUACCAAGGCUUUGAUCGGUAGCUGGUCUGAGAGGACGAUCAGCCACACUGGCACUGACACACGGGCCAGACUCCUACGGGAGGCAGCAGUGAGGAAUAUUGGGCAAUGGGCGAAAGCCUGACCCCAGCAACGCCGCGUGAGGGAUGAAGGCCUUCGGUU